AGUGAACGCUGGCGGUAGGCCUAACACAUGCAAGUCGAACGGCAGCACAGUAAGAGCUUGCUCUUACGGGUGGCGAGUGGCGGACGGGUGAGGAAUACAUCGGAAUCUACUUUUUCGUGGGGAAUAACGUAGGGAAACUUACGCUAAUACCGCAUACGACCUACGGGUGAAAGCAGGGGAUCUUCGGACCUUGCGCGAUUGAAUGAGCCGAUGUCGGAUUAGCUAGUUGGCGGGGUAAAGGCCAACCAAGGCGACGAUCCGUAGCUGGUCUGAGAGGAUGAUCAGCCACACUGGAACUGAGACACGGUCCAGACUCCUACGGGAGGCAGCAGUGGGGAAUAUUGGACAAUGGGCGCAAGCCUGAUCCAGCCAUACCGCGUGGGUGAAGAAGGCCUUCGGGUUGUAAAGCCCUUUUGUUGGGAAAGAAAAGCAGCAGGUUAAUACCCCGCUGUUCUGACGGUACCCAAAGAAUAAGCACCGGCUAACUUCGUG
rnacentral:rRNA from 1 species